UUAAGUAAAACUUGUCAUGCAGUGGUGUAGAGGUUGGGCGCGAACGGGCGUUUUGCAUCAUUAUCAAGCAGGUACUUAAGCCGCAAGGCUUAUUAGGAGGUGAAGUAUGAAAAAAAAAUCGUAUAUAAAGGAGAGAGAAAAGGCCAGAGACGACAUCAGUCGAGUGAGGAUCUCCGACACGGCAACAACUGUAGCGCAAUAUCUGUCAACAACUGCCCUCUUCAUCGUAUCAUCAGUUCGCAAUCAUGGUUUAUUUAUUGUCUAGUUAAUUAUGGCGUCGUGCUGCUGUUGGGUGUUUUAUCUUUGACGGGUUGGUCGACCACUGGUGUACCGAUGUCUCCUGGGUAUGGCGGAUAUCAAACCACAACGUCGCCGCCUUACGGCAACAACCGGUUACUCCACCAAGACUGAGUAUUACAACAAAACUUACGAUUCCCCGAGCUAUUACACAGAAGACCAGAAGUAUAACUCUGCCCCGAGCUACAUCAUCAAAGAGCCGUAGUACUACACCACUAAGGCAUCGGAAUACUACACGACUACGUAAGCUGCCCCUGCCUACUACACCGAGGCCCCUAAUUUCUACAACACCCAAGCGCCCAAGUACUACACUAUAACCUUCGCUGCCCCGAGCUACUACACCGACGCCCCGAAGUAUUAUUCUGCGUAAAAUGAGUCGUCUCAAAAGAGAAGUCGUAUAAAAGGAGAGAGAAAAGUUGGCAAAAAUCAAUCGAAAGAGUCUUUCCGACACCGCAACAACUGCAGCGCACGAUUUGUCAACAAUUGGAUUGUUCAUCUUAUCAUCAGUUUGCAAUUAUGGGUUAGCUAUAGCGUCAUGCUACUGUUGGGUGUUGUAUCUUUGAUGGCUGGGACGAUCACGAGUGUACCGAUGUCUCCUGGGUAUGGUGGAUACCUAACAGCAGCGAAAAAAUACUACACCACGUCGCAGCCUUACUACACAAACGUCAACAUACGAAGGACCUGCUUACUACACCGAAGCUCCGAAGUAUUAAUCUGUCCCGAGUAACAUCACCAAAGCGGCUGAGUAAUUCACUGAGGCUUCCAAAUACUACACCAACAAAUCUCCAGAGUAUUACACUACGCUACCCCAGCUUACUAUACUGAUGCUUUUGGUUUAAUACACCACCAAAUUUCCAGAGUCUUACAAUGCAAUCUUCGAUGCCCCAGCUUACACCACCAAGGCACCGGAGUACUACGGCUGCUCCUUCGUACUACUUUUCGUAUGUUUUAGAAACAUACACAAACUGAUUAGUUAAACACAAACAGAGUGUCCGGUUCAAAACAUUUUUCUUUAUGCAAUGUAAAAUAAAUAAAUCUGCUACCCAACUG